rnacentral:ncRNA from 1 species
GCCGUCUCAAAGGGGUGCUCUAAAUAACGAGCUGAGAUUAUACCCAACGAACCUGAACAGGUAAUGCUGUUAAGGGAAAAAAUGACAAAAAAAU